CGUCGCAGGCGCCAUUUUGUGCGCGGCUCUUUCCCAUUUUAGGCCGCGGGGAGAGGGAGGAGCGGGAGCGCCCGUGGGAUCGGCGGAGGGAACGGCCGGGAGGCUCCUCCUGAGCCCCGCUGAGGCGGCACCGCGUCUCUUCCCGGCAGUACGACCCCGUCGCUGCGUCUUGGUGGCGGCCCCGCUUGAGGCGGCGAUGGCGCAGGAGCGGGCCCGGCCGGACCCGGAAGUGGAGCGGCCGCCAUGGAGGCGCCGGGACCGCCCGCCGUGAGGGCGCGGAGCCGCCGGGGCGGCCCGAGCGCCCCGCAGAGACACACCCGGGGUGCAGCAUAAAACUCCUGCCCCUGUGGAUGUAUCAGUUACAGCCAGCACAAUUAGGAGGCUCAUGGCACAUCACCCACCCAGCUGCUGACUGCAAGUUCACGUUGGUGAUGAUAGUUACAGCUAUCCUGGGGAAGUCAUGCAGUGUUGCAAAACAACCACACAGCACUGCAGGGAAGCUGAAGAUCUGUGCAGCAGCUUUAAUUUAGAUGUGGCAAAGGAUUCUGUCACCACCUGCAAUCAAGUGAUCAGCCUGUCUUUCAAAACUUGAAAUGCAGAGUGUAGAGCAACGUGAUCCAGCAGGAUUGUGGAUUCACAUCCUUCCUUGUAACCCUCCAGAAGCACUGUGUGUGUCCCUGAAGUGUGUGAUGCUGCAGACUGUGUGUCACUGCCAGCCUGCAGCCUGGCACAAAGAGGGGAGCAGCAGCACUGCUGUUCAGCCUGGCUGCUCAGCAAAAGAGGUGAGGGCAGUGGUUACAUGGCCUUUCUUCCAGGGCUUUUGCCUGUCCAAAUUAUUUCAAUCACUGCAGGUUAAUUUACUCUUCAGCCUCAGCUAACAAGACUGCAGUUGGUCAGUAUUGAUUCUUACUUAAAAGUAUUAAUGCCUUCAGUCUUUGAAUUAAAUGUUUUGAGCUGUAAGUAGCUGCUGUUGGUGAGAAUCUACAGUUCAGCCAGUGAUUAAAUUCUGAAUUAUUUUCCCCUGCUCAGCCAUCUUUUCCAAAGCUGUUUUUCGUUAGUGUCUGUGUCUUUUGGAGGAUAUUAUUCCAGGUAGCUCAUUUCCAGGUGUCCAGGGAGUUGGCUGUCCCAUCAACACUUAAGCUGUUAAUUAAUUGCCAGACUGUGCUGUUUGCUGGAGUUGGUACCUUCAGGGAUGUGCUUUCCCCUGCAGUGCUCCUGUGUAGUGUCACCUCAUUAGCUACAGCUAUAAACAGAGCCGUGUUGUGUGACAUUCAGAACUCUGACAGAGCAAAAGACAUGGCUUUUUAGAGGGUUGUGUUAUUCUGGAUCAAUGGAAGAUGUAUUUGUGGGAGUGAUCUGUCAUGUCCUUGCAAGCAGCACAACAGGAUACACUGGUGUGAGGCUAGACACAAGCACUUGGCUGGGGGAAGCAGCUCUUGUUAAACCAACUGAUGGAAAACACAUUUAGCUACAUUUUAGUUCUGCCCCAAACAGCAUUUCAGAUUUGUUUCUGUUCCUGAUGUACAUAGGAAAGUGUCUGGGGGAAAUAGGCUUUCACUUGGUGGGCUUUGGUGACUGUGGGAGCAGCUGGGGUUAGAACUGAAACUGAGCUUUGAACAUUCUGCUGAAGUAGCUGGUGCUUCCUGUGCUGCUCUUGUCACCUGUUAAUGCAGUCUCAUGGAAUAGCUCUCUGUUCUUUCUGAAUGUAAUGAAAGGAGCAGAUUUCCUGCUUUUCUAAAAUUAUAACAAACAAGAUAAAUUUUAACUUAGAAAAAUUUAGGCAUCACUUGGGUGGGUUUUGGGAGUGUGUUGUGUUUGGAAUGCAUCAGUGUUUGGGUGAAUUCACUAUAAUUGGACCUACUCUUAAUCUGGUGAAAUUGGAAUCCUAAUGACUGAUUUUGGAUAUGCAGACAGUAUGUGUACCAAAUUAUAUCUAAUUUUAUGCAGCAAUAAAGCACACCAUGUUCUUUCUAAACCUUUGAUUGGCUUGUUUUAUCAUGUUGCCAAAAAUGGUAUUUUCAGUGGGCAGUUCCUACACUGUUUUUAGGGGAGACUGCAGGGGAUUUCAGUUUGUUCCUGUAUCUGAAGAUAUGCAUGUGUUUGGACUACAAACUGUGUGAUGCUGCUGCCGGCUUCAUUCUAGUUGUCCAUUUUUGGUUGGCACAGCAACUCGUAAGAACCAUUUUUAAACAACUGUUUCAGAGUCCUUUAAUAGCAAUGUACUGAAGAUGAAAGAGCACUGUGUGGGGGUGGCUGCAUCCAUCUGGAAAAAGGAGACUUGGUUUGAGCUUGGUAGUAGAUCCUGUGUUCUAAAAUACUAGAAUGUAUUUACAGUCAGGCAAGACUUAACUCUGCUACCACUUGUUUUCUGCAACUCUGGGUAAUUGGACAUAAUAGGCAGCAAGAUGCUCUAUAAAGGAAAGUUACAAGCAGUUGGUAUCUCAAAAUAGCUCUCAGUUCUUAAGUGGAAGUAACUUCCUUGCUGCAUGCAACUUGAAAAACUGGUGGGCAGAGGAAAAGCUGGUCCUUGUCUUACAGACAUGCAACUGAAAGAAAAUGAGGGGGAGAGAACAGACUCUGUGCUGUAUUUCUGGUGCAAUCACAGCGUCAGAAUUGUCAUGACAAUCAAAACUAUUUUUCUCUUUGUAACCUUUAAACUGUGUACUUCGUUUUAAGGUCAUGCUAAGACGUGUUACUGAAUUUGCUGUUUUGCAUUCCCUUUUAUGGCUGUGGUUUUAUCUUCAGGAAGAGACUUGCAAAACAGCCCUGGAGUUGUUCCAAAUCUCCUUCCUUAAGGGUGCCUGGGACUGCACAGGCAGGAGCAUCCCAAGCAGUGCUGCAUCCACAUGGACAUCACACUCUCAGCAUGUGGGGCUUUAACCUCAGGCCAUCGAGCUAUUUUUGGUGAUGAGAAGUUAGAAAUGAAUGACCCAAUGCUUGGCAUACUUCAGAUCUGCAUGAGACACGUUCUGCUUGGAAUGUUUCCUUUCUGAGAGUCAGCACCAAAUACAGAUGAGUAGUAUUUCUUUUAGAGAUGGCCUUGUGGAUGUCUGCCACACAGGAAAUUUCAUAUAUGGGUUACUUCUAACAAUCUUGCCAUCAUUUCAUCAGCAGUACUAGCAGUUGUAAAGAGGCUAUUAUCCAAGCCAGUAACUUUUAUGGCCAUAUUAAAGUAGCAUAAAAUUAAUUAUCUUGAUACAAUAGCCUAAACUUGCUUUUUGAACUCUGCAAGUGCACUUUCAUAUUGUAAAAUCUGCCCUGGUGCAGUCAUGGAGAUGGAUGUAAGUAAACCAGACACUGGAUAUUAAUAUUAAAACAAUAUUAAUAUUGUUUUGUAAUUUGUCACCUGCAGUUAACCUAGUCCCUUUUUCAUUUUCUUGAGCAAAGCUACUGUAUGUGGACUUGCUGACUAAAUAAUUAUAACAAGGAAUGUGACAUAUCCAGCCUUAAAGAGUAGUGAUUCAUCUGGUGCUGAGUAACAGCCAGUGGAUGUGUGAGACUUAAGGAGGAAGCAUCUUACUGAACAGGCUACUCUUGUGUCAUUGUUGGAUCUGUACUCCUUAAACACUCCUUGGGUAGAGAGAUGACUGAGCUAAGAGAUUACUUGGUCUGUAGACUCUUCCUUCCUGCUGUUCUGUGUAAUCCCUGUGCUUUGGGUCUUGAGCAAGAACACACCAUUGAAACUCUGAGCAUGAAGUGGUUCAGCAUGGCAAGAAAUGGAGUUAUGCAUUCCAAGUGGGUAUUUAACUUUCUGCUGUAUUAUGUGUUCCCAUAAAUGGCCAGAGUAGGACAAAGUAGGUUACUUGUGGAGCCUGAAGCAAGCAGUGCUGCUUUUCUGCUAUCUUUAGAUCUGGAACUUCCCAGUGCUUUGGGCAGAAAUAACCCAAGCGAGACUCUUAGAAUCACCUCUUUCUCAAAUCUCUAAUUCAGAAGAUUUCACCCUGCCAUUUGUUUGCCUUGCAAAGCAUUUCCACAUUUUAGUUACACUGAAGUUAUAAUUGACCAUUUUCAAGCCAGCUGGAAAAGCUAAUUUUAAUUUUAGGGAAGGGGAUCCAAGCCUUACUUCCGUAGGAAUGCAUGCUGCCUUUCAAACCUUCACAUUGACUGCCUGAUCAGGUGUUGUUCUCUGGGCUUAAAUUAAACUCCUGUCCUUAGAUGUUGUUUAAGCCUGCAGGAUAUGGGAGCAUCUAUAACAGAGCCAGAUUUUUCCCCCCUAGUAAAAGACAGCCUCUGCUAAAUAUAAGCUUUUUGGUUGUUUGCAAUUUAAUAUUAUUUUCUCUUGUUCUGAAACAGAUCUAGAUGUCACCUAAAUAAUCUCAGAUCCAUGUUCAGCCCUUCUGGAGCUUGUUCACCAAAUGAUUUCCCUCAGAGAGCUCUAUAUAUUUAGGAAAAAAUUAUCUUCAACAUUAAUUAAAGUUUAAUCCUGCUUUGCUGUCCCACUGCAUUUUUAGUUCAUUUGGUCAGUGGCUGUCAUAAGCAGCCACUUCCUUCUUUUUGAAGACUUCUUCCCCUUCUCAACUCCACUGUUUGACGUAGCAACAAGUAAAUACUUCUCAGUAGCAAAACUCACUGAAGUUUCUGUUUAGCCUAUCAGCUGUGGACUAAAUUAGUGAAACAUUAGGAUGAUAAUGCACUACUGUAUAAUUAGUUAAUUUUUAAGUAACUAAAAUUAGUCAGUUACUUGUUAAAUACAGUGUGGUUGUCUCAUGGAACUGCAGGGUUACAAAAAUGGCUGUCACAGGGAAGUUGCAGUAGUUUUUCUGCUGGCAUGAGUCUCUCUGGGCUAAAAUCUAUUCUAAUGUUCCUGGGUCUUGUUGACAAGAGAUAGCAAUGCUGAACCUAUAAUGAAAAAGAAUUCUGCUGGUUUUCUGUUUCUAAAGUAAAGGACAAUGUCAGUAUUAAAGUAGCUUGUUUAGAAUUCUUCUGCCUUUUUCCUCUUUGACCCCCUCCCCUCCCC